UACGUAGGGGGCAAGCGUUGUCCGGAAUCAUUGGGCGUAAAGAGCGUGUAGGCGGUCCGGUCAGUCGGUUGUGAAAGUCAAGGGCUCAACCCUUGAAUGCCGGCCGAUACUGCCGGGCUAGAGUCCGGAAGAGGUGAGUGGAAUUCCUGGUGUAGCGGUGAAAUGCGCAGAUAUCAGGAGGAACACCAAUUGCGAAGGCAGCUCGCUGGGACGUCACUGACGCUGAGACGCGAAAGCGUGGGGAGCAAACAGG
rnacentral:rRNA from 1 species